rnacentral:rRNA from 1 species
CCUACGGGAGGCAGCAGUGGGGAAUAUUGGACAAUGGGCGAAAGCCUGAUCCAGCAAUGCCGCGUGAGUGAUGAAGGCCUUAGGGUUGUAAAGCUCUUUUACCAGGGAUGAUAAUGACAGUACCUGGAGAAUAAGCUCCGGCUAACUCCGUGCCAGCAGCCGCGGUAAUACGGAGGGAGCUAGCGUUGUUCGGAAUUACUGGGCGUAAAGCGUACGUAGGCGGUUAUUCAAGUCAGAGGUGAAAGCCUGGAGCUCAACUCCAGAACUGCCUUUGAAACUAGAUAGCUAGAAUCUUGGAGAGGUGAGUGGAAUUCCGAGUGUAGAGGUGAAAUUCGUAGAUAUUCGGAAGAACACCAGUGGCGAAGGCGACUCACUGGACAAGUAUUGACGCUGAGGUACGAAAGCGUGGGGAGCAAACAGGAUUAGAUACCCUGGUAGUCCACGCCGUAAACGAUGAUAACUAGCUGUUCGGGCUCUACGAGCUUGAGUGGCGCAGCUACGCAUUAAGUUAUCCGUCCGUGGGAGGUACGGUCGCGAGAUUAAACUUAAACUAGAGUAGACGCGNGAGACGUGCGAGGACGACGACGAGGGAGUAGG